UACAGAGGGUGCAAACGUUGUUCGGAAUUACUGGGCGUAAAGCGCAUGUAGGCGGUCUCUUAAGUCGGAUGUGAAAUCCCUCGGCUCAACCGGGGAAGUGCAUUCGAAACUGAGUGACUGGAGUCUCGGAGAGGAAGGUGGAAUGCUUGGUGUAGAGGUGAAAUUCGUAGAUAUCAAGCGGAACACCGGUGGCGAAGGCGGCCUUCUGGACGAUGACUGACGCUGAGAUGCGAAAGCGUGGGUAGCAAACAGG
rnacentral:rRNA from 1 species